rnacentral:rRNA from 1 species
GGAAGUAAAAGUCGUAACAAGGUUUCUGUAGGUGAACCUGCAGAAGGAUCAUUAUUGAAUAAUAGGGCUUCCCAUUCUUUGGGGCCCGAACCUCACAUAAUUUCCACACACUUGUGAAUCGUUGGAGCAUGGAAGGAGAGACUCUCUCGAGUCUCUGUGAAAAUGCUCUGGCACCCAUUUAUUAUUACAAACUCUGAGUUAAUGGAUGUAGUUGUAAACUUGUCUUUUGACAGAAACAAAAAUACAACUUUCAACAACGGAUCUCUUGGUUCUCCCAUCGAUGAAGAACGCAGCGAAACGCGAUAGUUAAUGUGAAUUGCAGAAUUCAGUGAAUCAUCGAGUCUUUGAACGCAUCUUGCGCUCCUUGGUAUUCCGAGGAGCAUGCCUGUUUGAGUGUCAUGAAUCCCUCAGCCCCCAAUGCUUUUCGUUAAGUGUUGGCUUGGGUCUGGAUUUGGGCGAUUGCCAGAGAGCUUUUUCAAGUUCCUGGCUCGCCUCAAAGAGAUUAGCUGGACCCCAUUCCGAGCUGGUUCAACUCGACGUGAUAAUUUCAUUCGUCGAGGUAUGGUUCUUCUCCCUUAAACAAGGAGUGGAUCCAGCCAGGUGUAGGAAUCCGGUCUGCUUCCAACUUCUGUCUGAAGUCCAAUUUAUUGGGCAUGCAGCAGACUUUUUAAUGCUCUGGCCUCAAAUCAGGUAGGAUUACCCGCUGAACUUAAGCAUAUCAAUAAGCGGAGGA